rnacentral:snRNA from 1 species
UAGCUUCAGCAGCUCAUAUGCUAAAAUUGGAACCAUACAAAGAAAGUUAGUAUGACCCCUGCACAAGAAUGACAUGCAAAUUUGUGAAGCAUUCCAUUUAAAA